rnacentral:rRNA from 1 species
UCAAGCGACCAAGGGCAUAAGGUGAAUGCCUUGGCACUGAGAGCCGAAGAAGGACGUGAUAAGCUGCGAAAAGUCUCGGGGAGGAGCAAAUAUCCAUUGAUCCGUGAAUAUCCGAAUGGGGAAACCCACUUGAGCAAACCUCAAGUAUCUUGUUGUGAAUACAUAGCAACAAGAGGGAAUAGUUGGUGAACUGAAACAUCUAAGUAGCCAGACGAAAAGAAAGAAAAAAUUCGAUUUUCAAAGUAGCGGCGAGCGAAAUGGAAAGAGCCCAAAUUAAGUCAAGGAAGAAGAAGGAUAGUAGAAUGGUAUGGGAAGACCAACCGAAGAAAGUGAAAGUCUUGUAAACGAAAUCUAACUGAUUCUGACUUAGAAAGAGUAGCAUGGGACACGAGAAAUCCUGUGUGAAUAUAGGGGGACCACCCCCUAAGGCUAAAUACUACUCAGUGACCGAUAGAGAAUAGUACCGUGAGGGAAAGGUGAAAAGAACCCCGGGAGGGGAGUGAAAUAGAACCUGAAACCUUAUGCCUACAAGCAGAUAGAGUCUUAAGAGAGAUGAUAUCGUACUUUUUGUAGAACGGGCCAGCGAGUUAUGGUGUGCGGCAAGGUUAAGUAAUGAAGUUACGGAGCCGUAGGGAAACCGAGUCUGAAUAGGGCGAGAUAGUCGUAUGCCAUAGACCCGAAACCAGGUGAUCUAUCCAUGAGCAGGUUGAAGUGAAAGUAAAAUUUCAUGGAGGACCGAACCGGGUAGCGUUUAAAAGCUAUCGGAUGACUUGUGGAUAGGGGUGAAAAGCCAAUCGAACUUGGAGAUAGCUGGUUCUCCUCGAAAUAGCUUUAGGGCUAGCCUCAAUUUAGUUUACAGGGGGUAGAGCACUGAAUACCGUAGGGGUGUUAGACAUUACCGAAAGUUAUCAAACUGCGAAUACCUGAUAAAUGAUGAUUGGGAGUCAGACUAUGUGGGAUAAGCUUCAUAGUCAAAAGGGAAAGAGCCCAGACCACCAGCUAAGGUCCCUAAAUAUAGAUUAAGUGGUAAAGGAUGUUUUACUACUUAGACAACCAGGAUGUUGGCUUAGAAGCAGCCAUACAUUUAAAGAGUGCGUAAUAGCUCACUGGUCAAGUGGUAGAGCGCCGAAAAUGAACGGGGCUAAAAUCUAAUACCGAAGCUGUGGACUAAUGAAAAUUAGUGGUAGAGGAGCAUUGUGUAAGGGGCGAAGCUAAGUUGGAAGACGAAGUGGACUUUACAGAAGAGAGAAUGCUGGCAUGAGUAGCGAAAAGGAGGGUGAGAAUCCCUCCCGUCGAAAGCCUAAGGAUUCCUGAGGAAGGCUCGUCCUCUCAGGGUAAGUCGGGACCUAAGCCCAGGCUGAAAAGCGUAAGCGAUGGACAACAGGUUGAGAUUCCUGUACUAUCUUUGAAUGUUUGAGAGAUGUACUGACGCAGGAGGAUAUGUUGAGCGUGUGAAUGGUAGAGCACGUCUAAGCAAGUAGGUAGAGAAUAGAGGCAAAUCCCUAUUCUUAAUAUCGAGAUGCGAUGGGGAGCGAAAAAUAAGUAGUGAAGCAACAGAUUCCAAACUGCCAAGAAAAGGUACUAUUGAGUGAGAAGAUACCCGUACCAAAACCGACACAGGUAGGCAAGGAGAGAAUCCUAAGACGCGCGGAAGAACCUUUGUUAAGGAACUCGGCAAAAUGACCCCGUAACUUCGGGAGAAGGGGUACCAUUAGAUGUGAGAUACAUACGUAUGGAGCAUAGAGUGGUCGCAGAGAAUAGGCCCAAGCAACUGUUUACCAAAAACACAAGUCUCUGCUAAAUCGAAAGAUGAAGUAUAGGGGCUGACACCUGCCCGGUGCUGGAAGGUUAAGGGGAAAUGUUAGAGCAAUCGAAGCAUAGAACUUAAGCCCCAGUAAACGGCGGCCGUAACUAUAACGGUCCUAAGGUAGCGAAAUUCCUUGUCGGGU